UACGUAGGGUGCAAGCGUUAUCCGGAAUUAUUGGGCGUAAAGAGCUCGUAGGCGGUUUGUCGCGUCUGCUGUGAAAACUGGGGGCUCAACCCCCAGCCUGCAGUGGGUACGGGCAGACUAGAGUGCGGUAGGGGAGAUCGGAAUUCCUGGUGUAGCGGUGGAAUGCGCAGGAUAUCGAGGAGGAACACCGGUGGCGAAGGCGGAUCUCUGGGCCGAUAACUGACGC
rnacentral:rRNA from 1 species